GACGAACGCUGGCGGCGUGCUUAACACAUGCAAGUCGAACGGAAAGGCCCUGCUUGCAGGGUACUCGAGUGGCGAACGGGCGAGUAACACGUGGGUGAUCUGCCCUGCACUUCGGGAUAAGCUUGGGAAACUGGGUCUAAUACCGGAUAGGAGCCAUCUUUAGUGUGGUGGUUGGAAAGUUUUUUCGGUGUAGGAUGAGCUCGCGGCCUAUCAGCUUGUUGGUGGGGUAAUGGCCUACCAAGGCGGCGACGGGUAGCCGGCCUGAGAGGGUGUACGGCCACAUUGGGACUGAGAUACGGCCCAGACUCCGACGGGAGGCAGCAGUGGGGAAUAUUGCACAAUGGGCGCAAGCCUGAUGCAGCGACGCCGCGUGGGGGAUGAAGGCCUUCGGGUUGUAAACUCCUUUCGCUAGGGACGAAGCUUUUUUGUGACGGUACCUAGAUAAGAAGCACCGGCUAACUACGUG
rnacentral:rRNA from 1 species